rnacentral:rRNA from 1 species
CAAACUGGGAUUAGAUACCCCACUAAUAGUUACAUAACAAAACUAUUCGCCAGAGUACUACUCGCAACUGCCUAAAACUCAAAGGACUUGGCGGUGCUUCACAUCCACCUAGAGGAGCCUGUUCUAUAAUCGAUAAACCCCGAUAGACCUUACCAACCCUUGCCAAUUCAGCCUAUAUACCGCCAUCUUCAGCAAACCCUAAAAAGGAACAAUAGUAAGCACAAUCAUAACACAUAAAAACGUUAGGUCAAGGUGUAGCUUAUGGGUUGGAAAGAAAUGGGCUACAUUUUCUACAUAAGAAUACCCACCAUACGAAAGUUUUUAUGAAACUAAAAACCAAAGGAGGAUUUAGCAGUAAAUCAAGAAUAGAGUGCUUGAUUGAAUAAGGCCAUGAAGCACGCACACACCGCCCSGUCACCCUCA